rfam:Loxodonta africana unplaced genomic scaffold scaffold_25, whole genome shotgun sequence.
GGAUGUGAGGGCGAUCUACCUGUGACAUCCAUCACCCCAUUGAUCGCCAGGGUCGAUCCGGCUAACCCGGCUGGCUAGGUUGUUGACCCCUUCCUCCCUCACUGUUCCAUGUAUGUUCCCCCCGAAGCUGCUCACUCGGUCAAAAAGGAGGACCUUCUCUGACAGAGGAGACGACCACCAUCCUUUGGUCAAGGAUAAAUGAGUAGCUCCCCUACUGGAGCCUCCAGACAAGCUCUCAAGGUCCAGACCGUAGAAGCCUGACUGCCCGGUUCUCUGACCCUCCUUCCUACAAUCCUGGUGUCCCAAGGCUGCCGGAGCAG